rnacentral:tRNA from 1 species
GCAGGAGUGGCGGAAUUGGCAUACGCGCUAGUCUCAGAAGCUAGUGGGCUUACGCCCUUGGGGGUUCAACUCCCCCCUCCUGCACCA